AACGAACGCUGGCGGCAGGCCUAACACAUGCAAGUCGAACGAUGCCUUCGGGCAUAGUGGCGCACGGGUGAGUAACACGUGGGAACAUACCUUUCGGUGGGGGAUAACUUCGGGAAACUGAAGCUAAUACCGCAUACGCCCUUUGGGGGAAAGAUUUAUCGCCGAAAGAUUGGCCCGCGUCCGAUUAGCUAGUUGGUGAGGUAACGGCUCACCAAGGCUCCGAUCGGUAGCUGGUCUGAGAGGAUGACCAGCCACACUGGGACUGAGACACGGCCCAGACUCCUACGGGAGGCAGCAGUGGGGAAUAUUGGACAAUGGGCGCAAGCCUGAUCCAGCCAUGCCGCGUGAGUGAUGAAGGCCUUAGGGUUGUAAAGCUCUUUCACCCACGACGAUGAUGACGGUAGUGGGAGAAGAAGCCCCGGCUAACUUCGUGCCAGCCGCCGCCGUAA
rnacentral:rRNA from 1 species